CGGAGGAAAAGAAACUAACAAGGAUUCCCCUAGUAACUGCGAGUGAAGCGGGAAAAGCUCAAAUUUGAAAUCUGGYGGCCUCKGGUCAUCCGAGUUGUAGUCUGGAGAAGCGUCUUCCGUGCUGGACCGUGUACAAGUCCCUUGGAACAGGGCGUCAUAGAGGGUGAGAAUCCCGUCUUUGACAUGGGCUGCCAGUGCUUUGUGAUGCGCUCUCRAAGAGUCGAGUUGUUUGGGAAUGCAGCUCAAAAUGGGUGGUAAAUUCCAUCUAAAGCUAAAUAUUGGCGAGAGACCGAUAGCGAACAAGUACCGUGAGGGAAAGAUGAAAAGCACUUUGGAAAGAGAGUUAAACAGUACGUGAAAUUGUUGAAAGGGAAACGCUUGAAGUCAGUCGCGUCCGCCGGAACUCAGCCUUGCUUCUGCUUGGUGCAUUUUCCAGUUGACGGGCCAGCAUCGAUUUCGACCGUUGGAAAAAGGUAAAGGGAAUGUGGCACCUUCGGGUGUGUUAUAGCCCCUUAUCAUAUACGACGGUUGGGAUCGAGGAUCGCAGCACGCCUUCAUGGCCGGGGUUUGCCCACGUUCGUGCUUAGGAUGCUGGCGUAAUGGCUUUAAGCGACCCGUCUUGAAACACGGACCAAGGAGUCUAACAUGCCUGCGAGUGUUUGGGUGGAAAACCCGAGCGCGUAAUGAAAGUGAUAGUUGAGACCUCUGUCGCGGAGGGCAUCGACGCCCGGACUUGAUCUACGGAGACGGUUCCGCGGUAGAGCAUGUAUGUUGGGACCCGAAAGAUGGUGAACUAUGCCUGAAUAGGGUGAAGCCAGAGGAAACUCUGGUGGAGGCUCGUAGCGAUUCUGACGUGCAAAUCGAUCGUCAAAUUUGGGUAUAGGGGCGAAAGACUAAUCGAACCAUC
rnacentral:rRNA from 1 species